GACGAACGCUGGCGGCGUGCUUAACACAUGCCAGUCGAACGGAAAGGCCCUGCUUUUGUGGGGUGCUCGGGUGGCGAACGGGUGAGUAACACGUGAGUAACCUGCCCUUGACUUUGGGAUAACUUCAGGAAACUGGGGCUAAUACCGGAUAGGAGCUCCUGCUGCUUGGUGGGGGUUGGAAAGUUUCGGCGGUUGGGGAUGGACUCGCGGCUUAUCAGCUUGUUGGUGGGGUAGUGGCUUACCAAGGCUUUGACGGGUAGCCGGGCUGAGCGGGUGACCGGCCACAUUGGGACUGAGAUACGGCACAGACUACUAAGGGAGGCAGCAGUGGGGAAUAUUGUACAAUGGGCGGAAGCCUGAUGCAGCAACGCCGCGCGCGGGAUGACGGCCUUCGGGUUGUAAACCGCUUUCGCCUGUGACGAAGCGUGAGUGACGGUAAUGGGUAAAGAAGCACCGGCUAACUACGUG
rnacentral:rRNA from 1 species